UCAAAUUCUUACUAAGUUCAAGCUCCUCUUCAAAGGGGUAUAAUUGGGUAAGUGAGAGAACUACGAUUGUGGCAAGUCGAAAAUUGAAGAAAAGAUUUUUGGAAAGGCCAAGAGUUAGGUGUGGUGACUAAGGAAGCGGACAAGGUACACACAGACAAGUAGAAGUUACUAUAGAAGAUGUUCCAGCGGGGUUAGCAACUCCACUUGUUCCUGGAGUGCUGUCGAGUCAGAGUAUAUGCGCUAUGAUGUUUCAUUCGAAGUUAGAGACUUUGCAGACAGAGUCGUGGGUAUAGAGUGUCAGCUUUGUAAGCGGCGUC